rnacentral:rRNA from 1 species
GAUGAACGCUGGCGGCGUGCCUAAUACAUGCAAGUCGAGCGAACAGAUGAGGAGCUUGCUCCUCUGGCGUGAGCGGCGGACGGGUGAGUAACACGUGGAUAACCUACCUAUAGGGGGGGAAUACCUUCGGAAACGCAUUGAUAUUACCGAAGAAUAUCUUAAACAACAGGGUUCAGUUUGGAACGAGCGCUUUGCUGUCACUUAUAGGUUGAUCCGCGGGUGUUUAGCGUGUUGGGAGGGUAAGGGCCCGCCAAGGCAACGAUCAGUAGCGGGCCGGAGAGGCGGACCGGCACAACUGGAACUGAGAAACGGCCAAGACUCCAACGGGGGGAACAGGUGGGGAAUUUUGGACAAUGGGCGAAAGCCUGAUGCAGAAAUGCGGGGUGUGUGAAGAGGGCCUUCGGGUUGUAAAGCACUUUUGUCGGGAAAGAAGUCCUUGAGACUAAAACGGUCGGGGAGUGACGGUACCGAAACAGAAAGCACCGGCUAACUACGUG